rnacentral:lncRNA from 1 species
GGAACAGUCCUUCUCCCCCUUCGAAUGACAGGGAUGUAAAUUUCGAGGGCGAAAUUUUUAUAAGGGGGGUGGAUUGUAAUAACCCAAAAUAAAUGCCCUAAAAUUAGUAAUAAAUUAUUCAAGAAGAAAGACGAAUUUACCCUCACAUGAUUAGGGGAAAAAAAAAAAACCAGAGUUUAUCGUUUUUGUUUUCUCUCCCCGUGAGUACACCGACACUUUUCCUCUCUCUCUCCAAUCAGUCUCUCAGAUUUCUCUCCCUCAGUUACCAACCACACUGCUUCUUCCUCUGCUGUUCCGUCUUCUUCCUCUCAUGAUGCCUUAGAAAAGGGAGGAACCACAAAACCAGUCACCAACUGCAUGACCAAAUACACAAAGCAAGCAAACCCACUCUCGUGGAUGCUAGAAGUCCGAUUUCGAAAGCUCAAAUCAGAAAACUUCCUUCAUCAAAGUUGUUCGUCUGCUCGAAUACUAUAACAUAUCCAAAACUGAGCAUCAUCAGAUCAGUCUAGCUACCUCAAACCGGCUAUGACAUUUCUGUGGUCAUCCAUGGCUGGUGAGUUUCUGCAGCUCGGUUUUCAACAGUUUUAUUUAAUCUCCAGUGCUCGAUUGACAAAACGUCCUUCUCCAAGGUUGUUCCUCAGUUUGAGAACUAUAACAUAUCCAAAAAU